rnacentral:misc_RNA from 1 species
CCUAGAGUUGUAGGCUUUGCCUGCUAUCUCUACCCAUGUCUUUUGAGUACCUUCGUUUCCUCGGCGGGUCCGCCCGCCGAUUGGACAAUUUAAACCAUUUGCAGUUGCAAUCAGCGUCUGAAAAAACUUAAUAGUUA